GGUUAAGCGACUAAGCGUACACGGUGGAUGCCCUGGCAGUCAGAGGCGAUGAAGGACGUGCUAAUCUGCGAAAAGCGCCGGCGAGGUGAUAUGAACCUUUGACCCGGCGAUGUCCGAAUGGGGAAACCCAGUGCAAUUCGUUGCACUAUCGUUAACUGAAUACAUAGGUUAACGAGGCGAACCGGGGGAACUGAAACAUCUAAGUACCCCGAGGAAAAGAAAUCAACCGAGAUUCCCCCAGUAGCGGCGAGCGAACGGGGAGCAGCCCAGAGUCUGAAUCAGCUUGUGUGUUAGUGGAAGCGUCUGGAAAGUCGCACGGUACAGGGUGACAGUCCCGUACACGAAAAUGCACAGGUUGUGAACUCGAAGAGUAGGGCGGGACACGUGGUAUCCUGUCUGAAUAUGGGGGGACCAUCCUCCAAGGCUAAAUACUCCUGACUGACCGAUAGUGAACCAGUACCGUGAGGGAAAGGCGAAAAGAACCCCGGCGAGGGGAGUGAAAAAGAACCUGAAACCGUGUACGUACAAGCAGUGGGAGCACCUUCGUGGUGUGACUGCGUACCUUUUGUAUAAUGGGUCAGCGACUUAUAUUCUGUAGCAAGGUUAACCGUAUAGGGGAGCCGAAGGGAAACCGAGUCUUAACUGGGCGUUAAGUUGCAGGGUAUAGACCCGAAACCCGGUGAUCUAGCCAUGGGCAGGUUGAAGGUUGGGUAACACUAACUGGAGGACCGAACCGACUAAUGUUGAAAAAUUAGCGGAUGACUUGUGGCUGGGGGUGAAAGGCCAAUCAAACCGGGAGAUAGCUGGUUCUCCCCGAAAGCUAUUUAGGUAGCGCCUCGUGAACUCAUCUUCGGGGGUAGAGCACUGUUUCGGCUAGGGGGCCAUCCCGGCUUACCAACCCGAUGCAAACUACGAAUACCGAAGAAUGUUAUCACGGGAGACACACGGCGGGUGCUAACGUCCGUCGUGAAGAGGGAAACAACCCAGACCGCCAGCUAAGGUCCCAAAGUCAUGGUUAAGUGGGAAACGAUGUGGGAAGGCACAGACAGCCAGGAUGUUGGCUUAGAAGCAGCCAUCAUUUAAAGAAAGCGUAAUAGCUCACUGGUCGAGUCGGCCUGCGCGGAAGAUGUAACGGGGCUAAACCAUGCACCGAAGCUGCGGCAGCGACACUAUGUGUUGUUGGGUAGGGGAGCGUUCUGUAAGCCGUUGAAGGUGUGCUGUGAGGCAUGCUGGAGGUAUCAGAAGUGCGAAUGCUGACAUAAGUAACGAUAAAGCGGGUGAAAAGCCCGCUCGCCGGAAGACCAAGGGUUCCUGUCCAACGUUAAUCGGGGCAGGGUGAGUCGACCCCUAAGGCGAGGCCGAAAGGCGUAGUCGAUGGGAAACAGGUUAAUAUUCCUGUACUUGGUGUUACUGCGAAGGGGGGACGGAGAAGGCUAUGUUAGCCGGGCGACGGUUGUCCCGGUUUAAGCAUGUAGGCGGAGGUUCCAGGUAAAUCCGGUACCUUUUAACGCUGAGGUGUGAUGACGAGGCACUACGGUGCUGAAGUAACAAAUGCCCUGCUUCCAGGAAAAGCCUCUAAGCAUCAGGUAACAUCAAAUCGUACCCCAAACCGACACAGGUGGUCAGGUAGAGAAUACCAAGGCGCUUGAGAGAACUCGGGUGAAGGAACUAGGCAAAAUGGUGCCGUAACUUCGGGAGAAGGCACGCUGAUAUGUAGGUGAAGCCCCUGCGGGUGGAGCUGAAAUCAGUCGAAGAUACCAGCUGGCUGCAACUGUUUAUUAAAAACACAGCACUGUGCAAACACGAAAGUGGACGUAUACGGUGUGACGCCUGCCCGGUGCCGGAAGGUUAAUUGAUGGGGUUAGCGGCAACGCGAAGCUCUUGAUCGAAGCCCCGGUAAACGGCGGCCGUAACUAUAACGGUCCUAAGGUAGCGAAAUUCCUUGUCGGGUAAGUUCCGACCUGCACGAAUGGCGUAAUGAUGGCCAGGCUGUCUCCACCCGAGACUCAGUGAAAUUGAACUCGCUGUGAAGAUGCAGUGUACCCGCGGCAAGACGGAAAGACCCCGUGAACCUUUACUAUAGCUUGACACUGAACACUGGUCCUUGAUGUGUAGGAUAGGUGGGAGGCUUUGAAGCGUGGACGCCAGUCUGCAUGGAGCCGUCCUUGAAAUACCACCCUUUAAUGGCUGGUGUUCUAACGUAGACCCGUAAUCCGGGUUGCGGACAGUGUCUGGUGGGUAGUUUGACUGGGGCGGUCUCCUCCCAAAGAGUAACGGAGGAGCACGAAGGUUAGCUAAUCCUGGUCGGACAUCAGGAGGUUAGUGCAAUGGCAUAAGCUAGCUUGACUGCGAGAGUGACGGCUCGAGCAGGUGCGAAAGCAGGUCAUAGUGAUCCGGUGGUUCUGAAUGGAAGGGCCAUCGCUCAACGGAUAAAAGGUACUCCGGGGAUAACAGGCUGAUACCGCCCAAGAGUUCAUAUCGACGGCGGUGUUUGGCACCUCGAUGUCGGCUCAUCACAUCCUGGGGCUGAAGUAGGUCCCAAGGGUAUGGCUGUUCGCCAUUUAAAGUGGUACGCGAGCUGGGUUUAGAACGUCGUGAGACAGUUCGGUCCCUAUCUGCCGUGGGCGCUGGAGAAUUGAGGGGGGCUGCUCCUAGUACGAGAGGACCGGAGUGGACGCAUCACUGGUGUUCGGGUUGUCAUGCCAAUGGCACUGCCCGGUAGCUAAAUGCGGAAAAGAUAAGUGCUGAAAGCAUCUAAGCACGAAACUUGCCCCGAGAUGAGUUCUCCCUGAGACUUUAAGUCUCCUGAAGGAACGUUGAAGACGACGACGUUGAUAGGUCGGGUGUGUAAGCGCAGCGAUGCGUUGAGCUAACCGAUACUAAUGAACCGUGAGGCUUAACCUU
rnacentral:rRNA from 1 species